UAACUGGCUUUCCUGUUUUGAGCUUUUUUAGAUUAAGAGACUCAGGAAGUGGCCUCUGGACAAGCCUACAGUGGGGUCUGUGGAGUUGCAUGUGUGCUAACGCCUCCAGCCUAUGUAUAUAACCCAGACUGAUCCUGGCUGUGAACUCUGGACUGCAGGGGGACAAUGUUGUAUCUGUCAAUGGAGCUUUAUCGAUUGGAACCAACAUACAAGCCAGAGUGGGGUGUUGACAAUGGGGGAGGCUGUGUAUAUUGGGGGAAGAGGAUAUGCAUGCAAACCACGUCUGGUGCCACUCCUGCAAACCCUGUGAUCUAGAGGUGGAAGCAUGAGGACCAAGAGUUCAAGGCCAUCCUCCACUCUAUAGGGGACCUGAGGAAUGCCCAGGCUAUUGUAAGCCUUUCUCUCAAAAAGGAAUUCCCAUAACCCAGAGUGGCCUAGGACUUGCUAUGUAGUGGAGGUGUCAUGCAACUUCUUAUCUUCCUGCCUCUACCUAGCUUGUGUGCUGAAGCCCCGGGCCUCACCAUGGUGAAGUAGCCGGCCGCCUGCUCCAGCAGCCCCACCAGACCCAGUUCUGUG